rnacentral:rRNA from 1 species
GCGGUAUUACGUAGGUGGCAAGCCUUGUCCGGAAUUAUUGGGCGUAAAGCGCGCGCAGGCGUUCCUUUAAGUCUGAUGUGAAAGCCCACGGCUCAACCGUGGAGGGUCAUUGGAAACUGGGGGACUUGAGUGCAGAAGAGGAAAGUGGAAUUCCAAGUGUAGCGGUGAAAUGCGUAGAGAUUUGGAGGAACACCAUUGGCGAAGGCGACUUUCUGGUCUGUAACUGACGCUGAGGCGCGAAAGCGUGGGGAGCAAACAGGAUUAGAUACCCUGGUAGUCCACGCCGUAAACGAUGAGUGCUAAGUGUUAGGGGGUUUCCGCCCCUUAGUGCUGCAUGCUAACGCAUUGAAGC